AGGAGAAAAAUGGGAGAAUCUGAUGAUAACAGCAGGCCCUUUGAAGAGCCACCUUGAAGGAAGUCAAAGAAGUAUAUUUCAGGACACAGAAGCUUGUCCUGGCAAGAAUCCUAUCUGUAAGCUCUACAGAACUAGCAUUUCCUCAAUUUCCAUCUGCCAAGAUGCUAACAGAGAACACAUCAAGUAGGUGGAACACACAAGGGACUGACCUUGACUUAAAGCAAGUAUGGCAAUCUAAGAUCUCUGCCAUGACAUGACUAUAGUUUAUGAACCAUUUACAAUGGUAGUAAUAUCACAUUAUUCAUUGUCUGUAUACCAUGUGCCCCAGAUAUUAAAGCCAAUUGAUGCAUACUGUCUUUC
rnacentral:lncRNA from 10 species